rnacentral:lncRNA from 10 species
AAGGAGGGAGACAUCAAGCCUGUGAAAAUUUAGGAAACUUCCUGGACUAAAACUAACAUACACUGAGACUGAAGUCAGGAAGGCAGGCCAUUGGGAAGGAAAGAUGGUGAAGUGGGGAAGGAACAGGACACAUUGGAGCACAUAAGAGUGAGCUGGAACACAUGCAGGUCUCUUGUCAGCUCCAGCUCCCAACAUCAGUGCUAUUUCUGGCUAGAUGUGAAACUGGUGCCCUUUCCUGUGAAGCUAACCACAGCACUGGCCCAAGAGUCACAGAAGAUAAAGGAAGAGACCCAAGAGGAGUUGGACGAGCAAGUCCUGCUGCUGCUGCAGACGCUGCACACACUGGUCUAGGAUUUUGAGAAACUGAAGGAGGAGAUCCAGCUGUUGCUGGAGUGACUGUCAGCUGGCCCUGCUCCACUUAGACAAGGUGAGCCAGCCCAUCAGAAACAAUGUGCCUGAUUUGCAAUGGCACCCGAUGUCUUGCAUUGUAAUUGCAUUGACCUUCCCAGUAUAAAAGGAUAUGACUGUUGCUGCUUCUCUUCCACUUUUCAAAUGUCAUCUAAAGUAUCUCUUGCAGCCCACAGGAAUUUGGAAUUAUGCUAAAAAGUGGAUUCUGAGAAUCAUGUUUGUAACUUAAAUGAGCUUACACAGUGCAUAUCACCUUGCAUAUGUCAAAAUAAAAAAUGAAAUAAAAAUCGAUACAAUCUCUUCUUCUCCCUGGAGUAAAGACAGUAUCUUUUUUCUGAAUACUAUGUGUUCAUCAGUCUUCUCAUCACAGCUUCAGUGCCUGUAUCAGAUAACAUCUUAGGAAGUCUCAUCCAGGCUACCCUUCCUCCAGACACACUGGAUAUGAUCUUAAUUGCUAGAAUAUUAAGAGAAGAUAAUAAGAUAAGAAGGGAAGCAGCAACCAUAUGAUGUGAUAAUUGUGAGUCUGGGACCUGGAAGCUUUACAAAAGAUAUUGGGUAAUAAAGACUUGGAGACUUACAUGUUUAACUUCCUUAUCCAGAGUGAUCUGAUGGGCAUAUUUAUUAUGAUGAUGGUAAAGAUAUUAAGUUCAAAUUCAACCCCCAUCUGAGAGGACUGGAAGACUGUUUAAGUUGUCAGGGUAGCCUGACAAUGAACCAGGGCUGCAUACAAACCAUUAGUGAAAACUGCAAAGAUACAUGUAACACACAGGCAAAUAUACAAAGAGAACCUUGUAUGGAGUGUAAAAGAAGCAUACGCCUACAAACUGCUGGAGGCUUUGAAAGCAAUUUACCGAGAAAGCUUUUUACAGUGGCCCACUUUGGAGCCAUCGAUAAUUAACUAAACAAAUAUUUCAGAGUGUAUCCAACUGGUUUCAGCCAAUUUCCUUAGGGAGUUGUGAUACUUUAAAUUCCAUAUAAUGAUACUGUUGGAUCAGUGUCUUCAGCUGCAGUAUGUAAGCACACAGGACUUGAUUCAUGAUCAUAUGGGUAAUAAUUUGAGAUCAAUAUUUUAAAUAAUGUAAUAGAAAACCAGCAAGGAAUCUCUCACAAGUAAUAAAUAGCGCUUGAGCCUUAGUUGUGGGUAUAUGGAGUCAUUAUGAAUUCUGCCAAGUAUAUAGAUUUAUGCUUAUACAAAUUACUGAGUGAUAAAAGACAACAUUUCUCAUAAUAGCAAUAUGGUUUCAUAACCUAUCCAAGAGCAUAGGUUUCUUCAUGUAGGACACCAAGAAACCAAAGCAUUAUUCUAACCACUUAUUCAUAAUAGGUCUGACUUUAGCAGCUGAUAUUUCUGCCUUGCAGAGACUCUGUUUUUCCCAGUCUUGAGAUGAGAUGUGAAGCUUGUCUUAUUCACACUGCGUGGCAUAUGGAAAGAAGCUCAGGCUUUAGAGGCAGAAAUACAUCUGCUCGAGGGAUCUGCUUAGUGCUAGUUUCUGCUUCUGUAAAAUGCGAAU